UACGGAGGGUGCAAGCGUUAAUCGGAAUUACUGGGCGUAAAGCGUGCGUAGGCGGCUUGUUAAGUCGGAUGUGAAAGCCCCGGGCUCAACCUGGGAAUUGCAUACGAUACUGGCAGGCUAGAGUGUAGCAGAGGUAAGUGGAAUUUCCGGUGUAGCGGUGAAAUGCGUAGAGAUCGGAAGGAACAUCAGUGGCGAAGGCGACUUACUGGGUUAACACUGACGCUGAGGUACGAAAGCGUGGGGAGCAAACAGG
rnacentral:rRNA from 1 species